CAAUAGCGUAUAUUAACGUUGUUGCAGUUAAAAAGCUCGUAGUUGGAUUUCUGGCGGGAGCGUCGGCCCGUAUUUACGAGUGCGUGACGUCUCUGUCCAUCCUUGCGGGAAGGCACGGCAUUGAUUUGUUGUGUCGGAUCGCAUCAUUUACUGUGAAAAAAUUAGAGUGUUCAAAGCAGGCUUUCGCUUGAAUACAUUAGCAUGGAAUAAUAAGAUAGGACUUUGGUGCUAUUUUGUUGGUUGAGCCUAAAGUAAUGAUUAAUAGGGAUAGUUGGGGGCACCUGUAUUGCGUUGUCAGAGGUGAAAUUCUUGGAUUUACGCAAGACAAACAGCUGCGAAAGCGUCUGCCAAGGAUGUUUUCAUUAA
rnacentral:rRNA from 1 species